GACGAACGCUGGCGGCGUGCUUAACACAUGCAAGUCGAACGGAAAGGCCCUGCUUUUGUGGGGUGCUCGAGUGGCGAACGGGUGAGUAACACGUGAGUAACCUGCCCUUGACUUUGGGAUAACUUCAGGAAACUGGGGCUAAUACCGGAUAGGAGCUCCUGCUGCAUGGUGGGGGUUGGAAAGGUUCGGCGGUUGGGGAUGGACUCGCGGCUUAUCAGCUUGUUGGUGGGGUAGUGGCUUACCAAGGCUUUGACGGGUAGCCGGCCUGAGAGGGUGACCGGCCACAUUGGGACUGAGAUACGGACCAGACUCCUACGGGAGGCAGCAGUGGGGAAUAUUGCGCAAUGGGCGGAAGCCUGAUGCAGCAACGCCGCGUGCGGGAUGACGGCCUUCGGGUUGUAAACCGCUUUCGCCUGUGACGAAGCGUGAGUGACGGUAAUGGGUAAAGAAGCACCGGCUAACUACGUG
rnacentral:rRNA from 1 species